rnacentral:rRNA from 1 species
UACGUAGGGUGCGAGCGUUAAUCGGAAUUACUGGGCGUAAAGUGUGCGCAGGUGGCCGCGCAAGUCGAGUGUGAAAUCCCCGAGCUUAACUUGGGAAUUGCGCUCGAAACUACGUGGCUCGAGUGUGGCAGAGGAAGGUGGAAUUCCACGUGUAGCGGUGAAAUGCGUAGAGAUGUGGAGGAAUACCGGUGGCGAAGGCGGCAUCCUGGACCGGCAUUGACGCUGAGGCGCGAAAGCCAGGGGAGCAAACGGG